CUUUGGCAAUAUAUUAUUUAUCCAAUGUCUUCACAAAAUAUAUAUUCUUAUCAAAUUAAACCUUACAACCAUGUGAUACAAGUUUACUCAUUCAAAGAGGUUUUUCUUCAUCUUUCACACAUAUAAGAUCUCUUUCAACUUGAUUUUCUUGAUUUGAUCCUUUACAACGAUCUUUACAAUAAUGGAUCUAAUUCCAAUAGCUUGUAU
rnacentral:lncRNA from 1 species